AUUGAACGCUGGCGGCAGGCCUAACACAUGCAAGUCGAGCGGGGUUUUCGGACCUAGCGGCGGACGGGUGAGUAAUGCGUAGGAAGCUACCCGAUAGAGGGGGAUACCAGUUGGAAACGACUGUUAAUACCGCAUAAUGUCUACGGACCAAAGUGUGGGACCUUCGGGCCACAUGCUAUCGGAUGUGCCUACGUGGGAUUAGCUAGUUGGUGAGGUAAUGGCUCACCAAGGCGACGAUCCCUAGCUGGUUUGAGAGGAUGCUCAGCCACACUGGAACUGAGACACGGUCCAGACUCCUACGGGAGGCAGCAGUGGGGAAUAUUGGACAAUGGGCGCAAGCCUGAUUCAGCCAUGCCGCGUGUGUGAAGAAGGCCUUCGGGUUGUAAAGCACUUUCAGUAAGGAGGAAGCGUUGAGUGUUAAUGGUACUCAGCGUUGACGUUACUUACAGAAGAAGCACCGGCUAACUCUGUGCCAGCCGCCGCCGUAAGAC
rnacentral:rRNA from 1 species